rnacentral:rRNA from 1 species
GAUGAACGCUGGCGGCGUGCUUAACACAUGCAAGUCGAACGAACGGACGAGAAGCUUGCUUGUCUGAUGUUAGCGGCGGACGGGUGAGUAACAUGUGGAUAAUCUACCUAUAAGACUGGGAUAAUUACGGGAAACCGGCGCUAAGAGCGGAUAAUAUUUUGAACCGCAUGGUUCAAAAGUGAAUGACGGGCUUGCUGUCUCUUAUAGAUGGAUCCCCGCUGCAUUGGCUAGUUGUGAAGGUAACGGCUUACCAAGGCAACGAGGCAUAGGCGACAUGAGAGGGUGAUCGGCCACCCGGGAAGUGAGACGGGGUCCAGACUCCUACGGGAAGACACAGUAGGGAAUCUUACGCAAUGGGGGAGAGCCUAACAGAGCAACGGGGCGUGAGUGAUGAAGAUGUUCGGAUCGUAAAGCUCUGUUAUUAGGGGGGAACAUAUGUGUAAUUACCUGUGAAGAUAUUGACGGUACCUGAUCAAAAAGCCCCGGCUAACUACGUG